rnacentral:rRNA from 1 species
UCGGCAUCGGGUAACUCCGAGCCACUUCCCGCGGCAUCACGGAGGACCACAGCGUCAUCCGGAAGUAUGGGGCGUCAAGCGUCCGCUUGAGUUUUCCUCUUGCUAGCUUUAACGCGAGGAGCUAAACUCCAUGCGGGGGAUGCAACCUGCCACACUAGAGUACGGGCGGGAUAGAGGGAAUUCCCAGUUACGGCGAGGACUACCGGGGUAUCUGAGAAGAACACGCUCCGCGAAGGCUCGCUACUGAGCGAAACCUGACGCUCAGUGGAAAAAAGCUAGCUGAGCGAGAGCUAUUAGAUACCCCCGCAGUUCACCGCGACAAUGAUAGAUCCUACGACUCGCACGUAUCUAUCCGCGCGCAGCUUCCAUCCACGUGAUAAGGGUCCGCCCCGCGCUGUACACACGCACGAACGAAACUGCCAGCAGUCGACUGUGCGCCCCGCACAAUCCGGGAAAACGCGUGCAUCACAUCUCGUCUGCAACGCGAAAGAAUCGUUACGAAGGUCUUCCACAUGCUGAGUACUCCAGGCGACAAGUCAGAUCGUUCUCCUCUGAAGACAAGAAGAUUAGGAGCCGCAUGCUGUCGUCAGUCACGCGUCAUGAGCAUCCUGAGUCAUUCGCCGCAACGCAGCACAAUCCACGACCCUAGCUGCCAGCAGUAAGCUGGGCGACUUCCUCGAAAGACCGCGUGCUCAAUCGUGCAGUAAGACUAGCAUGCAGAUCA